AACGUAGGUUCCGAGCGUUAUCCGGAUUUACUGGGCGUAAAGCGCGUUCAGGCGGUUCGGCAAGUCGGGCAUGAAAUCUCUCGGCUCAACCGGGAGAGGUUGUCCGAUACUGUUGGACUUGAGGGCAGUAGAGGGUGGUGGAAUUCCGAGUGUAGAGGUGAAAUUCGUAGAUAUUCGGAAGAACACCAGUGGCGAAGGCGACUCACUGGACACAUAUUGACGCUGAGGUGCGAAAGCGUGGGGAGCAAACAGG
rnacentral:rRNA from 1 species